rnacentral:rRNA from 1 species
UACGUAGGGGGCAAGCGUUGUCCGGAUUUAUUGGGCGUAAAGAGCGUGUAGGCGGCCGUACAGGUCAGCUGUGAAAACUCGAGGCUCAACCUCGAGACGUCGGUUGAAACCGUACGGCUAGAGUCCGGAAGAGGAGAGUGGAAUUCCCGGUGUAGCGGUGAAAUGCGCAGAUAUCGGGAAGAACACCCGUGGCGAAGGCGACCUUCUGGGCCACUACUGACGCUGAGGCACGAAAGCGUGGGGAGCAAACGGG